UUUAACAGCCAUAUCACUCUGCAGCCCAAGACCGGUUACUCACUGAAGCUAAGCAGGGCUGAGCCUGAUCAGUACCUGGAUGGGAGACCACUAGGGAACACUAGGUUGCUGUUGGAA
rnacentral:rRNA from 1 species